rnacentral:rRNA from 1 species
GGCUUUAGACCCGAAACCGAGUGAUCUAGCCAUGUGCAGGAUGAAGGUGGGGUAACACCCACUGGAGGUCCGAACCAGUGCCCGUUGAAAAGGUCUUGGAUGACGUGUGGCUAGGGGUGAAAGGCCAAUCAAACUCGGAAAUAGCUGGUUCUCCGCGAAAGCUAUUUAGGUAGCGCCUCGCGUGUAUGUCCCAGGGGGUAGAGCACUGGAUGGGCUAGGGGGACCAAAAUCUUACUGAACUCAACCAAACUCCGAAUGCCGGUAAGUGAGAGCGUGGCAGUGAGACUG